CCUGCUCCGGCGUGGGCCCCUCCCCGGGCUGCAGGGCCUACAGAUUGCACGUUUAUGCCAGUAUUUCUCCAGGAACUGAGGUUACACCAACUGAUCUCGACUUUGCUGCUCCUUCCCCCAGGUCUCUUGAGGUUCCUCCUCCACAGGACCACCAUUCCCAGGUCGCUGGGUCCGCUCGGGUCUCCCAUCAUGGGCCUGCCUUUGGAAAUGAACUUUCUGCAGUGACCCUAUUCUUUGUACAGUAUUAUCGGGUAACCUGAGAACUGCAGAUGUAUCUGAUUAUUGGAACUGUGGAGACGAUUGCCACAAAACCCGAAACCGUGACCUUUCCUUGAGGUGUUAUCAGCCAAGCUGGUGGGGGGGGACAAGAGAGCUGAUUUAUGACCAUUCAUUAAAAUUACACGAAACUGAUUAUUUAUAGAGGUAGACUUCUGCUGAAAGGCUCAGGCUUAAAACCUGUCUUCUUUAUAGUUCAGAGUGUUUGGACAUGGGAAAACAAGGAAUGCUCUCUUGAAGCAAUGUGAAUGUAACUGGAUUAUAUUUUAUUGUAUUUUUAUUAUGUUUUGUAUUGUAUAUUAAAAUAGAUUUAUUAUUUAUAUUUAA